rnacentral:lncRNA from 1 species
CAGCACUUCUCUAUCUGUCCACAGUGGAUCAUAUAACCCAAACACGAUCAUAUCAUAUAACCCAAACACCAGUAUCCAACAAAAACAAAAGAUUGAUUUACGCUGUUAAGUUUAUCAACAUCACCGAAUUAAAUUCGAGUAAUUAAUUAAUUUAAUCCACCUCAGCUAAAACCCUAGUAAAUCAAAUUUCAUCUUGAAAAUCUCGAUCUCAAGUUUUUUCUGUUUUUCCAUCCGGUCCAUACAAUGGUGGUCUGUAAAUGCCGCAAGGUAUGACAAGAUAUAC